rnacentral:rRNA from 1 species
CAGCCGCCGCGGGAAAACGAAGGGUGCAAGCGUUAAUCGGAAUUACUGGGCGUAAAGCGCGCGUAGGUGGUUUGGUAAGAUGGAUGUAAAAUCCCCGGGCUCAACCUGGGAACUGCAUCCAUAACUGCCUGACUAGAGUACGGUAGAGGGUGGUGGAAUUUCCUGUGUAGCGGUGAAAUGCGUAGAUAUAGGAAGGAACACCAGUGGCGAAGGCGACCACCUGGACUGAUACUGACACUGAGGUGCGAAAGCGUGGGGAGCAAACAGGAUUAGAUACCCCUGUAGUCCCUGUCUCUUAUAC